UUCUCAUCUCUUUUUCCUUCUUCUAUCUCUUUUCCCUUGUCAUCUUCAUAAUGAAUGAUAUGAUAGGAAGAAGAGGGAG
rnacentral:ribozyme from 13 species